rnacentral:rRNA from 1 species
CGGGGGCCCGCACAAGCGGUGGAGCAUGUGGUUUAAUUCGAUGCAACGCGAAGAACCUUACCUGGUCUUGACAUCCACAGAACUUUCCAGAGAUGGAUUGGUGCCUUCGGGAACUGUGAGACAGGUGCUGCAUGGCUGUCGUCAGCUCGUGUUGUGAAAUGUUGGGUUAAGUCCCGCAACGAGCGCAACCCUUAUCCUUUGUUGCCAGCGGUCCGGCCGGGAACUCAAAGGAGACUGCCAGUGAUAAACUGGAGGAAGGUGGGGAUGACGUCAAGUCAUCAUGGCCCUUACGACCAGGGCUACACACGUGCUACAAUGGCGCAUACAAAGAGAAGCGACCUCGCGAGAGCAAGCGGACCUCAUAAAGUGCGUCGUAGUCCGGAUUGGAGUCUGCAACUCGACUCCAUGAAGUCGGAAUCGCUAGUAAUCGUGGAUCAGAAUGCCACGGUGAAUACGUUCCCGGGCCUUGUACACACCGCCC